rnacentral:rRNA from 1 species
CCUACGGGGCGCAGCAGUGAGGGAUAUUGGUCAAUGGGGGAAACCCUGAACCAGCAACGCCGCGUGAGGGAAGACGGUUUUCGGAUUGUAAACCUCUGUCCUCUGUGAAGAUAAUGACGGUAGCAGAGGAGGAAGCUCCGGCUAACUACGUGCCAGCAGCCGCGGUAAUACGUAGGGAGCGAGCGUUGUCCGGAUUUACUGGGUGUAAAGGGGGUGUAGGCGGGAAUGCAAGUCAGAUGUGAAAACUAUGGGCUCAACCCAUAGCCUGCAUUUGAAACUGUAUUUCUUGAGUGCUGGAGAGGCAA